AGAGUUUGAUCCUGGCUCAGAUUGAACGCUGGCGGCAUGCUUAACACAUGCAAGUCGAACGCGAAAGUGGGCUUCGGCCCACGAGUGGAGUGGCGGACGGGUGAGUAACGCGUAGGAAUCUGCCCUAAAGCGGGGGACAACCUGGGGAAACUCGGGCUAAUACCGCAUAAUCUCUUCGGAGCAAAGCAGGGGACCUUCGGGCCUUGCACUUUAGGAUGAGCCUGCGUCAGAUUAGCUUGUUGGUGGGGUAAAAGCCUACCGAGGCGACGAUCUGUAGCUGGUCUGAGAGGACGAUCAGCCACAUUGGGACUGAGACACGGCCCAAACUCCUACGGGAGGCAGCAGUGGGGAAUAUUGGACAAUGGGCGCAAGCCUGAUCCAGCAAUGCCGCGUGUGUGAAGAAGGCCUACGGGUUGUAAAGCACUUUCAGUAGGGAGAAAAAACUCAAGGUUAAUACCCUUGAGCAUUGAUGUUACCUACAGAAGAAGCACCGGCUAACUCUGUGCCAGCAGCCGCGGUAAUACAGAGGGUGCAAGCGUUAAUCGGAGUUACUGGGCGUAAAGCGUGCGUAGGCGGAUAUUCAAGUCGGGUGUGAAAGCCCCGGGCUCAACCUGGGAACUGCAUUCGAUACUGGAUAUCUAGAGUAUGAUAGAGGAAAGUGGAAUUUCCGGUGUAGCGGUGAAAUGCGUAGAUAUCGGAAAGAACACCAGUGGCGAAGGCGACUUUCUGGAUCAAUACUGACGCUGAGUACGAAAGCGUGGGAGCAAACAGGAUUAGAGACCCUGGUAGUCCACGCCGUAAACGAUGAGAACUAGGCGUUAGUUCCGCUUCGGUGAAUUAGUGCCAAAGCUAACGCGUUAAGUUCUCCGCCUGGGGAGUACGAUCGCAAGAUUAAAACUCAAAGGAAUUGACGGGGGCCGCACAAGCGGUUGGAGCAUGUGGUUUAUUCGAUGAUACCCGAAAACCUUACCUACCCUUGAAUCCUCGGAUUCUUCUAGAGAUAGAGAAGUGCUUCCGGACGAUGACAGUGCUGCAUGCCUGUCGUCAGCUCUGUCUGAAAUGUGGGUAGUCCAACGAGCGCA
rnacentral:rRNA from 1 species